AAUACAUGCAAGUCGAGCGAACAGACGAGGAGCUUGCUCCUCUGACGUUAGCGGCGGACGGGUGAGUAACACGUGGAUAACCUACCUAUAAGACUGGGAUAACUUCGGGAAACCGGAGCUAAUACCGGAUAAUAUAUUGAACCGCAUGGUUCAAUAGUGAAAGACGGUUUUGCUGUCACUUAUAGAUGGAUCCGCGCCGCAUUAGCUAGUUGGUAAGGUAACGGCUUACCAAGGCAACGAUGCGUAGCCGACCUGAGAGGGUGAUCGGCCACACUGGAACUGAGACACGGUCCAGACUCCUACGGGAGGCAGCAGUAGGGAAUCUUCCGCAAUGGGCGAAAGCCUGACGGAGCAACGCCGCGUGAGUGAUGAAGGUCUUCGGAUCGUAAAACUCUGUUAUUAGGGAAGAACAAAUGUGUAAGUAACUAUGCACGUCUUGACGGUACCUAAUCAGAAAGCCACGGCUAACUACGUGCCAGCAGCCGCGGUAAUACGUAGGUGGCAAGCGUUAUCCGGAAUUAUUGGGCGUAAAGCGCGCGUAGGCGGUUUUUUAAGUCUGAUGUGAAAGCCCACGGCUCAACCGUGGAGGGUCAUUGGAAACUGGAAAACUUGAGUGCAGAAGAGGAAAGUGGAAUUCCAUGUGUAGCGGUGAAAUGCGCAGAGAUAUGGAGGAACACCAGUGG
rnacentral:rRNA from 1 species